rnacentral:tRNA from 1 species
ACCUGGGUGGCUCAGUGGGUUAAGCCUCUGAUUUCAGCUCAGGUCAUGAUCUCCCUGUUCGUGGGUUCAAGCCCCACGUCAGGCU